CAGCACUAGGGGUCCCCUGCCCACAUCAAAGAGAAGCAUCUAAGAGGGGUUACUGCCAUAAUGCCAUCCUUCUUGCUGCGCUUUGAGAAACAAACCAAAUCCCACCUCCCUUCAAAGAGCUCUAGUUGCUACGAAAACUAAUCCCACCCCCUACUAGAGUCCUGAGACUUAGAUGGCCCUGAGGCCAGUAGAAGGCUUUGGGGUAUCUCAAGAGCAGCCACACUUCUCCACCAAGGAAGUGUUCACAUAGUGCACACUCAUCUUGUGUUCGUCAUCCUGGACCAUCAGGGAGAAGAGUCUGACCCUGGUGGGAUGGCAGGUCUGGAAGAGCCGGGGACAGGCUGGCGUCAGCAACAUCAGUGGCUGGAAUCUUUGUCUCUGCCAAGAGGGUGGGCACCACCUCCAUCCAAUAUAUAAAUUAAUCUCCAAAUUCUCAGCAAGAGGAAAGGAGGCAGCUCCCAUUUAAUCCCCAGGCCUUCUCUAAAUGGCUUCAAGUGUAAAUGUGUUAAGUAAAAUCCUUCAUGAAUUUGUAAAUUGCUUUAAAUAAAACCCUUCAAUAAUAA